ensembl:snoRNA predicted gene, 26311
AACAAAAUGUGAUUUACAGACUUUUCCUACUCUUCCAUUUUGUAUCUUUGGUGUAGGAGCUGUGUAAGAAACAGUU